UACGUAGGGGGCAAGCGUUGUCCGGAAUUACUGGGCGUAAAGAGCUCGUAGGUGGUUUGUCGCGUUGUUCGUGAAAACUCACAACUCAAUUGUGGGCGUGCGGGCGAUACGGGCAGACUGGAGUACUGCAGGGGAGACUGGAAUUCCUGGUGUAGCGGUGGAAUGCGCAGAUAUCAGGAGGAACACCGGUGGCGAAGGCGGGUCUCUGGGCAGUAACUGACGCUGAGGAGCGAAAGCGUGGGGAGCGAACAGG
rnacentral:rRNA from 1 species